UUUAAGUUUUGCAAUGCUUCCGAGUGCUUGUGAAUAACGUAAACUGUUGAAUAAUUUUCCUCGACUAAAAUUCAUCCGAAAAGAAGCUUACAAUUGUUGCUAACGAAGAAAUAAAGUUUUUGAAAUCUGCGAAGAGAUUAUUAAAUUCUGGAGGACUUUAUAAAACCUGUUGCUCAGUUAACAUUAUUUUAUCGCGAGGAACAACAUCAAGAUUUAUGAAGAAACGAGUGCAGUCGCCUUUAAUAGGUGCAGGAAAGGCCAGUAACAGUAGUUACUAAUUACCUAACAAGGAAAACAUUUUAUUCGUUGAGAUGAAUGUACAGAAUGAUGUGUUGUGCGUUGUAUAAACCUGUGUUAUGUGUAAUUAAACACAAUCAUGCGAUAUGAUCGAUUAUUUGAUACUGGUACACUAGUAUACUAGAAAACGAUCUUGUAAGAUUUCACCAGUAGAAAAUGAUGACAUGCGAACAGUGAACGUUCGCCAUUUUCUCUGUGUCGCUUUUAUUGUAUUUUUUCGAAUGCAAUUGACUGAUUUGUUAAGGAUUUUGUGAAAAAGGCAAAUUCGAACUCGCUCGAUCACGGCGAAUCGGUUGUCGACGUUCCUUCGUUCUCGAACCAAUGAACACGCAAAUAGUAAGUACACGUGCAAUUCCGUACAAAGAAAAUGAGAAAAUAGAGAGCGAGAGAGAGAGAGAGAGAACGAGAGAGAGCGAGAGAGAGAGAGAGAGAGAGAGAGAGAGAAAGACAGAAAAAUGUUUGAUGCGUUUUCAAAGAAAUAAAGAACAAAGAAGUAUGAGAAUAAGGGACUUAUAAGUGACACAAUAGUGCUGUAGCUGAGAAGAAAGAGACGGUUAUAGUUUCUAUUUUGAAGAUUAUAUUUUUUUAACUUCAUUCAUUUUUGACUUCCACAUACAUGUAUUUAUAUAUAUACAUAUAAUUGUAUAUACAUAUUCGCAUACCUAUUAUAUACACGUAUAAAUAUAAAUAAAUAAAUAUAUAUACAGUAAAUGAUAAGUGUUAAGUGGAUAAUGAGAUAUUGUAUAUAUAUAUACAGAAAACACACGUGUGUGUUCGAAAAGGAGGUCGUAUAACGCAUGAUAUCGUGAACGUCCUUUCCGUAAUAAUAUGUAUAUGUGUGGAGUCGUACAAUUAAGCGUAUCGCGAAUAUCGUUUGUACGAAUACACUACAUUCUGAGAUAGCAAUCGGAAAGAAGAUAGGAAAUGCGCUUUCCAGAAGGAAUUACUUACACGAGACGAACAAUUAAGGGGCUUUCUAGAAGAAAAUGUCUUUGGACCAUUUUUUACGGUAUCUUGUUCUAUUUUCGAAACGGUAUUCUUAUAACCAGCAAAUAAAAUACUGUAUAUUUUAUCGAAACAACAAUUUUUGGUAAAAGCUGUAAUAUUUCAUUUAUUCGUAAUGGAGAUUUUUAGUCGGCCCAAUUCCACGAACUUCGCGGGCCAGCUUCGAUUUCUAUUUCUGUUUGAGAAAUUCAAACAUUCGUUAGUCGCAAACUAUUCGUUUUGAGAAAUGUAAUUUUUAUCAAUUCGCCGACGUCAUUUCUUAGUUUGAAGCGGAAUUUUUGUGCCGACAGGUCGUCGCAGCGUGACGCUUAACGAUUCGGAAGACAUCGAUCGCGUUACUUUACAAACUCAAAGCGAUCUACUCUUUGAUCUAUCGACGUUCAAGUAGGAAGUCAACUUAUCGACUUAAUUAAUACCACAAACGUUAAAAGUGUAUCGACUUCUCACGGUAAGAGGGUGUUGCGUUCAUUCAUCAAUACCAAUAUUAAAUAUCGAAAACGGAACGAUGAAAAGAUGUGACCGAACGAUUAAACGAUUUAAUAGGCGAAAGAAUUCUGCGUAUGUACAUAUACUAUUAACAUUGUACGUCUCGGGAAUCACGACAUAGAUCAUCAUUGAUCGUGAUACGUUUACUAUUGGAGAAUUGACUUGUUAAUUCGACUUGAAAAUGAUAUAGCUCGCGCCGAAUUAGGGCCUAUAAAUGUAUACAAUCAAAUAAAAGAUGCGGAAUAAUUAUCAAAUUUUGAUUUAUUUUACUGUAACAUUAAAAGUACCAAACUCGUCAUCUUGAUAGGUUUUAGAUUUUUUCCUACCCCGUGACCCAUUUCUCGUCUAUUUUAUUAUUUUUCCUACUUUUAAAAACAUAUGUAUUUCUUUAAAUUCCUAAUUUUGUAUUCCUUUUUAAUUUACCUACUGAUCAGUAUCGCCGGUUCAUCGCCGGUUCACUGGUAGAUGCGGCACUAUGCCCAAAAUAGUAUUUUGCCAAGCUAAUAUCACUGAUACCAUUAGUACCAUCUUUUCACCGCUAGAUGACUAUAGUAUCGUACAGUUUAUGUUUUGAUAAAAUUCUCGCAACAGACAAUUGCGAAACAUUUGGACAAGAACCCUAGGUACGGUUAUCAAACUAACCUUCGGAUAAACAUAGAAUCACACCCAACAACGCAAUCCUGGCAGAAGCUGAGAUUCCAUUACUUAAGAGGCAGAAUCGAAUAUCUCUAUGGUAAAUACACUCGGAAAACAUUGAACAACCUAACCACUCCUAUGGCAGAAUACAUUCAAGAAUACAUAGAACUGGAGGAAACUGUCUUAUACAACAUCCAACUCAACAAGAAGAGGAGAAUAAUCGUGAAAAUCUGCUGAGAAGGAUCGAACAUACGGAUAAAGUAUAAUACCGUUCGUGCCACCCUGAUGUAUCUGAAUAUGUAUCCAAUAUAUUUGAAAAUAAUUACACCGUACAACGCACUUAGAUGGUUCCAAAGCACUACGGCCAAAUCCCACAGAGGCAAUCAUCGUCCGCCAUGAAAUUUGCAACUGCAGUUCACGAAUGGAAGACAACGAACUGCAAAUUUUCUGGAUACUAGCACACGUGGGUGUUCCUGAAAACAAAGAAACAGGCCAACCAGCCAAAGGAGCCGCGAUCAAGCAACCAGACAGUAUGGAGAAGUUACCUCUUACAGAUUUCUACGGUGUGUUGAAAUAUAAAAUAUGGAACGAUUCGGAAGACAAAUUGAAUACUUCACUGUCUUCUUUAAAUCAGGCAGAAUAUCUUGGUUUAUCGAUCUAUAUUAAAUUGCAUAAUAUGGGACUAUUGGUUGUAUACUAACUUUAUGAAGAAAAUGACGCACAGAUUGUACAAGAAAAGGCCUCGCAUCCGCUCAAAUAAUGGAAUCGUUUAUACAAAGUCUUGAUAUACCAGCCAUUAGAAUAGUAAAAGAUCGUUUUAAAGCAAAUGAUAAAGUAUAUAGCAAUACAUUGUUAUAUUACAUGUUAUUUCUCUUCUUUUAAUUGUAACAGUAUCAAUAUAUAUCGCAUAAAUGUAUCAAGCUUAUACACGUAGGAUGAUCAAAGUUCAAAUAAUAAAAUGAAAGUUUCGAUCAACUUUUCAUUUCCGAGAAAGGUUAAUUACAAAUGUAUAUAAAAAUAAUACACGAUAGUAACGAAUACACAAGUAACAAAUACACGAAAUGUAUGUACAUUUAGAGAUUUGCAAAUUCUAUCGAAUAGAUCGAAGCACUCACAUGAAUAAUAUUUAAUUUCGCGCAAACUACACUUGAAACUAUGAUUAAAGUCGAAAGUGAACAGUUGAAAGUGGAAAGUUUGAAAUGCAUACGCGCGUAAAAUGCUCAAACGUGUUAAUGUAAGAAAUUUAUACUUAUACGUACUUAUACGUGCACACGUAUGUAUGUUUUUAUAUGGGCAUGGAGCGAUUAGUUCCACCUAUUAGCUGUUAGAUGGUAUCCCAUGUUCAUCGAAGAAACUACGGCCAUGGUGGAACGACUUUUAAAACUCGUCUAAGUACAUGAUCUUGCUAUGGAUAAAGUACAAAAUAGUCAUGACAUGUAACGCAUUUUCGUGUCCCACGUUUGAGUGUCAUCCGAUAUGUAUCUUUGUAUAAAAUGUGCGCGGAAUGAUCUUAAAUAAAGAUUACAACGUCGAUCGAACGACGAAAUAUACAAAUAUAUAUUACGAUAGUAAAUUAUAAUCGAUAUACAUACAUAAUUUCUUCCGAUCGAUCUAUCGUAUCGUAGAAGUGUCAGUUUUAGGUGGGGAGCACAGGACGAAGAAGCGUAAACGUUUCAUCUAGAAGUUAUCAGGUUUUUCAUUCGUUCCUCUUCUUCCUGUAACCUGGAAAGGACUUUAAAGAUGCUUGAAAACCAAGAACGUAAGUAAUUUUGUAUUUUGUAUUUUCAAUAUUACUAUUUCGCAUGUAUUUCACAUUGAGUACUAUCAAUUAAAAAGUAGAAUCUGAUCGAAGAUAGAAAUUUCUCAAUUUAUGUACUCGGUUACAAAUAAUCCAGGUGGGUGAGUCGAUA